rnacentral:tRNA from 1 species
GCCGCUGUGGCUCAGUGGAUAGAGCAUCGGCCUGCGACUGAAAGGUCCCAGGUUCGAAUCCGGUCAAUGGCA